rnacentral:rRNA from 1 species
UACGGAGGGUGCAAGCGUUAUCCGGAUUCACUGGGUUUAAAGGGUGUGUAGGCGGGCUGUUAAGUCAGUGGUGAAAUCUCCGGGCUCAACCCGGAAACUGCCAUUGAUACUAUCAGUCUUGAAUCUUGUUGAGGUGGGCGGAAUAUGUCAUGUAGCGGUGAAAUGCUUAGAUAUGACAUAGAACACCGAUUGCGAAGGCAGCUCACUAAGCAAGUAUUGACGCUGAGGCACGAAAGCGUGGGGAUCAAACAGG